GGGCGCAGGCGAAAUUCCGCAGGGAGCACGGUGAGGAAGGAGCUGGCGGUUGGGGUCGGGUCUCCGGGCGCGUACUCCCCCCGCCGGUGAGGGUGAACUAACGGAGGUGGGCGGGCCGGCGCGCCGGGUUAGCAGGCGUUUAUCCUGUAUGGCCGCAGCAGUCAGCGCCCUUCACCAGCCCGAGCCCCGCGGGCAGAGCCCUCGGCGGCAUCCAGCAGGAGGCCUCCCGCGGGAGCUGUCACUCCGCCAAACAAGAGAGAUAAACAAGCAAAAGUCUAGAAACAAGCCAGCUGUCCAUCUACAGUGGAAAGCAUAAACAAAUUGUGAUGUGUUCACGUACUGAAAUUUUACCCUGGCGUGAAAAAUCCACGAGCCACAGCUGCAAGCAACAAUAUGGUAAAGUCUUUGUGAAAGGCAUCAGUUGGAACCUCAGAGUUUGGCUUUCUCUGCAGGUGUGCUGGGGGCCUCAGCGUCCGUGUGCCUCAGCUGCCUGGGCUCAGUCUGUCCAGGAGGGAUUUGGAAAGGACCCAGGCACCGCCCAACUGCCUUGCAAAGUGGCUGCACCACGUGCGUCCCCACCAGCGGUGAGCGUUCCGGCUGCCCCACAUCCUCGCCAGCAUUUGGUGUUGUCGGUGCUCUGGAUUCUGGCCAUUCUCAGAGUUUAAAUGUUACGGAAGCAACAUAAGAAAGAUGCUUCGUAGCAGCAGUCUUGCUGGGUGAACACAAAUGAUAAGUAUUUUUAGAGGGGCCCAUUUCUCAACAGUACGACACCAUUCGUGCAGCUCUUUAUCCUUCAGGGAGCACUUGGAAACGCCUCGCUGGAGUCAUGGGUAGCCUGCCAGGGCCAUGCAGCCAGCGCUCUCCGCACUGACUCGCUCAAGCUCUGCCACCCCCGCACCAGCAAGGUGACGGGCGACUGCAGUUCUGUGUCUGCUGCACACCGUUCCUGCUGCCUCCUGGGAUCUCGGGGACACGAAGUGAAUUGAUGCGUUUCUGGAAGCUUAGACUAGCCUGGCUCAUAGCAAACACGCCCUGAACGUGAGCCGUGCUUAUUGUGAUUGACGCGGGAAGAAUUCAAGUUCAUUACGUGCUAAAUAUCACCAGCACAAGAGUUUACUGCAAGACCACUGGAGGAUUUUUUAAAGGACCUCUUAAAAUUCCCCUGAAGAACUAAAAAAGUUGCAGUGUGGGUAACUGAAAUAAUCAAAAUGAGCCCCCAGUUUCCCACGUGAACCUCGAGAUCCAAGCGACUCGGCCAGGGAUUCCCAGCUCUGAUGCCGUGAACAGUAAAAACCUCUCCACUUCCAUCAACCAAGAAACAGGCGUUUUCUGAAGGCCUUUAUGCCAGGCCCUGAGAAAACAGAAAAGUGUGACCCAGGUCCCCGGCCUUGGGGAAGACAAGCAAGGGCUGGGGAAUUCUGAGUGAGGGGGACAUCUGGGGAAAGGGAAGGAGAGACUCAAGGUCAAUUUCAAAACAGAGGGCAUAUUUGGUUGGGGCUAAAUGGGUGAGGCAGUGUCGCCACGAGCAUGGGGGAAGGCGGCCCCACUAGGCAGAGGGAAGGACGAACAGGAAGCUGGGGUGUAGCUCUGGUGGCUCCGGGGACAGAGGGAGAAGGAGCCACCUGAAAUGUACGGCGGUGCUGUCUGCCCACCACCCCUGCCCCUGCCUCCGGGGAGUAAUCCAUCCUCCGCUCUGGAGCGCGUCUCCUGGGGUCCUCAUGCAGUCGUCAUCCUCACGGUGGUCCAUCCUCCUGGGCACACGAGGGCUUCGGGAAACAGAAGGAAUGGAAUAGGAUCCCCACCCUCCUUUUCCCAAAGUGUGUAUGUGUGUGUGUGUGUGUGUGUGUGUGUAAGAAAGAAUUUGGGGCCGAGGGAGGAGGAAACCAAGUUCGGGUUUAGAAAAAUUAGGAAGAUAUACCCUCCCUUGUUUACUUCUGGAUCGUUGUUUGAUUAUUAGCAGCAGGUUUUGUUUCUUUUGAGUACUCUGUUAAGUUGGAAUCUUCCAGAAGCAGACCCUGAGACGAGGAUUUUAAUGCAUGAGCUCUGGUUGAGGACCAACGCCCGAAGUGCGCUGGGGAUGUGGGGAGCUGGCCCAGGACGUGAGCGCCCGGAGGAGGCUGUGCGCAGCUGCGCUCUUCGAGUCCGCAGGGCCGCGGAAGAAGCCGUGGUGGCCGGAGGGCUAUGCCCGGGGGCUACCCACCCUCCAGCCCUCAGCCCACCUCCACGCCCCUGGCAGGACCGGAGUGAAAGCCCCUUGCUCCAGGACGCCCCAGGUACCUGCUGUGUGGAGGACACGGGGAGGAACUGACAAAAGUGUUUUCUACAACCUUCUUUAUCAAACUUUUUGAUAUUAUCUAGAAAUGUGACUUUGAACUUCUCAUAGUCAAAAGGAAACUUUUCAUUUAGAAAAAAUAAGACAUGCCUGGUUGGGACUUCCCUGGCGGCCCGGUGGUGCAGACUUUGCCUUCCAAUGCAGGGGG